rnacentral:rRNA from 1 species
UUCUAUUAGAUAUAGUUAAUAGUAUAAUCUGCUCAAUGAAAAUUAAAUAGCCGCAAAUACUUGUGCUAAGGUAGCAUAAUAAUUCGUUUCCUAAAUAGAAACCAGUACAAAAGAUUAAACAUUUUAAUUAAAUUCUUAAAUUUAAAACUUUAAUUUAUCUUAAAUAUAAAAAGAUAUUUAUUCAAAAGAAAGACGACAAGACCCUAUUGAACUUAACUAUAGUUAAACUGGGGCAGUUAAUUAAUUAUUACUUUAAUUUUUAGUAAUAAAUUAAAUGACCUAAUAUAAAUUAAAUAUUUAAUCAAGUUACUAUAGGGAUAACAGCGUAAUAAAUAUUUAAAGUUCUUAUAAAAAUAAAUAAUUGCGACCUCGAUGUUGAAUAAUAUCCUUUAUUUACGCAAUAGUAAUAUAAGGAAGUCUGUUCGACUUUUAAAAAAUUACA